rnacentral:lncRNA from 1 species
GUUCUGGCGUCUGGUGUGGUGGCCUAGGGUUUCAUCCAAACGAUGCGUUUCGUGUUGUGUCUGGACUCUUGGUCGAGCGGGUUCGAAUCCUGGCUUGCGCGUUUUGUGCAUUUUAUUUGAAUUUUCAUUUGGUCCAAGCACGCUCAUGUUCGAUUCCUGCUAGCGUGUGUUUUCUGAUUUAUUAUUUGAACGCUCCUAUUGACCUGACAGC